rnacentral:rRNA from 1 species
CUGAUGGCGACCGGCGCACGGGUGAGUAACGCGUAUCCAACCUGCCCUUUACUAUGGGACAGCCCGUCGAAAGGCGGAUUAAUACCGUAUGUUGUCAUGUUGACGCAUAUUUUCAUGACCAAAGGCUUCGGCCGGUAAAGGAUGGGGAUGCGUCUGAUUAGCUUGCCGGCGGGGUAACGGCCCACCGGGGCGACGAUCAGUAGGGGUUCUGAGAGGAAGGUCCCCCACAUUGGAACUGAGACACGGUCCAAACUCCUACGGAAGGCAGCAG